rnacentral:rRNA from 1 species
GACGAACGCUGGCGGCGUGCCUAAUACAUGCAAGUCGAACGCAUUUUCUUUCACCGUAGCUUGCUACACCGAAAGAAAAUGAGUGGCGAACGGGUGAGUAACACGUGGGUAACCUGCCCAUCAGCGGGGGAUAACACUUGGAAACAGGUGCUAAUACCGCAUAAUUCCAUUUACUGCAUGGUAGAUGGAUGAAAGGCGCUUUUGCGUCACUGAUGGAUGGACCCGCGGUGCAUUAGCUAGUUGGUGGGGUAACGGCCUACCAAGGCUGCGAUGCAUAGCCGACCUGAGAGGUGGAUGGCCAAACCGGGGACUGGAAAACGGCCCAACUCCUAACGGAAGGCGGAGUAAGGAAUCUUCGGCAAUGGACGCAAGUCUGACCGAGCAACGCCGCGUGAGUGAAGAAGGUUUUCGGAUCGUAAAACUCUGUUGUUAGAAAAGAACAAGGAUGAGAGUGGAAAGUUCAUCCCUUGACGGUAUCUAACCAGAAAGCCACGGCUAACUACGUG